ACGCUCGACACCUACGGGAGCAGCAGUGGGGAAUAUUGCACAAUGGGGGAAACCCUGAUGCAGCGACGCCGCGUGGAGGAAGAAGGUCUUCGGAUUGUAAACUCCUGUUGUUGGGGAAAAGAGGAUGGUACCCAACAAGGAAGUGACGGCUAACUACGCGCCAGCAGCCGCGGUAAUCUGAGCGGGCUGGCAAGGC
rnacentral:rRNA from 1 species